rnacentral:rRNA from 1 species
CCUACGGUGCGCAGCAGUGGGGAAUAUUGGACAAUGGGCGAAAGCCUGAUCCAGCCAUGCCGCGUGUGUGAAGAAGGCCUUCGGGUUGUAAAGCACUUUCAGUGGGGAAGAAAGCCUUGGGGCUAAUACCCUCGAGGAAGGACAUCACCCACAGAAGAAGCACCGGCUAACUCCGUGCCAGCAGCCGCGGUAAUACGGAGGGUGCGAGCGUUAAUCGGAAUUACUGGGCGUAAAGCGCGCGUAGGCGGUCUGAUAAGCCGGUUGUGAAAGCCCCGGGCUCAACCUGGGAACGGCAUCCGGAACUGUCAGGCUAGAGUGCAGGAGAGGAAGGUAGAAUUCCCGGUGUAGCGGUGAAAUGCGUAGAGAUCGGGAGGAAUACCAGUGGCGAAGGCGGCCUUCUGGACUGACACUGACGCUGAGGUGCGAAAGCGUGGGUAGCAAACAGGAUUAGAUACCCGUGUAGUC